UGUAACAGCAACUCCAUGUGGAAGCUGUGUCAGUUCCAGUGGAGGUGCUGUUACUUG
ensembl:miRNA